UUAGGAUGUGAAGGUCCCGCUCAAUACCUAUUCCUCGAAUUCAGAAACUAAAAAACUACAAACAAAACUUACCAAUCAAUCAACUAAUAGUGGACGACAACGGGAAGGUAACUAUAACGAAGGAAAUAGUGUCCAUUGGACAUUCACUACCUCUGCUUCGAUCUCCAAAAGAAAAACUGUACAGAAAACCAAGACCAAGCCAGAGCAUACCGAAUACAGUUAUGAAUGGAAUGGAGGCUCGAAUGAUGAAGUGCAAAAUGAGUAUAACUGAAUCUUCAACUCCCCUAUCCUCGAAAAAAUUUAUGAUAGAUCCGAAAAUAAAAACUCAAAUAACGACCCCUUUAGUGAAUAUGAGGAAAAUGAUGGCUUAGAAAUAUCUAGGAAAUAAUAGAAUCAACAAAUUUAUAUAUUUGGGUACAGAGAACGCUGAAAGAGAAAUGCGUAAAAGGGAGUUAUCC